UUUGAUAAGCAAAAUUAAAGUUAUAAUACUUCUAGAAUAAUGGUAUCCUUGGACAUAUUUAUUUUGUAUAAUUAUAUGAUAAUUUUUAUAGCAUUUAAGGAUAAAUUUGCUAAAUAAUAGUUUCUUUCAAAGCUAAAGAAGCAAAUAAAGAGUUCACUGUCUGUAAGAUUUAGAGAUGCAAAUAAACUUUUGUAUUAUGAGAUGAAGUGGCUAGUAACUCGACUGGCUUAUUGCUUAGCAGAUAAUGAACCGUGAACUGCGAGAAAUAACAGAGGUAAGGAAUUCUAUUAUUAUUUUGAAAGACUAA
rnacentral:lncRNA from 1 species